CUGGUCAACGGGGGUCGGCGUGAGGCCGUCGUGUGGGAUCCUCUCACCGGCCAGCAACAUCGUGUGCCUUUUCCACCGGGGCUUCACGACGUUACAACGAGUAGUUUCUAUGCCUGGCAUGCCGCGGUGCUUUGUGCUAAUGCCGAAGAUGGGCACGUGCACGGAGAUUGCAUCAGGGGGCCGUUCAAAUUGGUCUUGAUCUGCAACAGAUACGAGCAGGCAUUCGCUUCUCUCUAUGACUCCACAUCUCGUGCUUGGGGAGAUAUUUUCUCGACGGCGAUAGAAAAUACAAUUCAUUGGACAAGGUGCAGCAUCCUUGUUGGAAAUGUGCUUUGCUGGGCGAUUUGUGGAGGUGAUGCCCUUGUGUUUGAUACUGAAAUGCAGAGUCUUGCUGUGAUUGAGAAGCCGGCAGACAAGAACGCUAUCAGUGGCUGGUCUUUUCAGCUCUUACGGAUGGAGGAUGGUGGACUAGGCCUCGCUGCUUUGUCGGGACUGACCGUCCAAUUAUGGGAAAGGAAACUUAACUGUGACGGUGUUGUCGGAUGGGUGUUGCUGCAGAAAACCAUUCCUUUGGAGGGGUUGCUUCCAAGCACAAAGCCUUUGGUAUUUAUCGUCGGGUAUGAUGAGGACACAAAUGCGAUUGUUCUGUCUACGGGGAUUGGCAACUUCAUGAUCCAACUUGACUCAAUGCAGAUCAAACAUAUCAUUAAAAGAAAUGACAUGUGUAUCGACAUGUUUUAUCCCUACCAUAAUUUCUACACUGCAGGCAGGGGAGUUGGGUGGAAAUGGGUGGAACUGAAACUUUGAACACUUGUGAUAUAGUAAUGUGCUAUCUUGGUUUGAAUGAGUGAGGUACCUCGAGUUAUUCAUGUGUUGCUGAAAUGAAGAAAAAUGUCUAGUUGGUUUAGUCUGCUCCAUAUGCUGAAGCAUGUGAUGUGGUUGACGCUGAGAUUGCAUCUCUGUAGUAUGUAGGUUGUUCUACUUUUAUGUACGGUUGUCCGGGAAGUGGAAUUUGUUGGAUUUAAUUGUCUCAGCUUGUGUUCGUUAUUAAUGACUUGUAGAGUUUCUUGGGUUAAUAGUCUUUGUGAAGUGAAUAUCUAUCUACAAUUUAUCUUCUGAGUCUUGCUAA